rnacentral:rRNA from 1 species
GAUCAUACGCGAGGACUUACUGGGCUAGAAUGCAGGGAAUUUCAAAAUGGAUAAUCUAGCAUAGCCCAAAAAAGGUGCUGCUGGGUGUCGUCAGCUCGUGCCGUGAGGGGUUGGGUUAAAUCCCGCAACCAGAGCAACCCCCAUCUUUUUUUUUAGCAGGUAAUGGUGGGGACUCUAUAAAGACUGCCUGCGCGAGCAGAGAGGAGGGAGGGGAGGACAUCUCGUCAUCUGGCCCUUUUGCCCGGGGCUAUCACGUGCUACUAUGGGGGUUACAAAGUGUUGCAAGCUGGUAACAGCAAGCCAAUCACUAAAAAACGGUCUCAGUUCGGAUUGAGGUCUGCAACUCGACCUCAUGAAGCUGGAAUCGCUAGUAAUCGCGCAUCAUCAAUGGCGCGGUGAAUACAUUCCCGG